GACGAACGCUGGCGGCGUGCUUAACACAUGCCAGUCGAACGGAAAGGCCCUGCUUUUGUGGGGUUCUCGAGUGGGGAACGCGUGAGUAAAACGCGAGUAACCCGCCCUUGACUUUGGGAUAACUUUAGGAAACUGGGGCUAAUACCGGGUAGGAGCUCUUGCACCAUGGGGGGGGUUGGAAAGUUUCGGCGGUAGGGGAUAGACUCGCGGCUUAUCCGCUUGUUGGUGGGGUAGGUGCUUACGAAGGCUAUGACGGGUAGCCGGCCUGAGAGCGUGGCCGGCCUCAUGGGGACUGAGAUACGGCCCAGACUGCUACCGGACGCAGCAGUGGGGAGUCUUGCACAGUGGGCGGAAGCCUGUUGCAGCAACGCCGCGUGCGUGAUGCCCGCCUUCGGGUGGAAAACCGCUUUCGACUGAGACGAAGCGUGAGUGACGGUAAUGAGUAAAGAAGCACCGGCUAACUACGUG
rnacentral:rRNA from 1 species